UACGUAGGCAGCAAGCGUUGUUCGGAGUUACUGGGCGUAAAGGGUGCGUAGGUGGCGCGCUAAGUCGGGUGUGAAAUCUCGGAGCUUAACUCCGAAAUUGCAUUCGAUACUGGCGUGCUUGAGGACUGGAGAGGAGACUGGAAUUCAUGGUGUAGCAGUGAAAUGCGUAGAGAUCAUGAGGAAGACCAGUGGCGAAGGCGGGUCUCUGGACAGUUCCUGACACUGAGGCACGAAGGCCAGGGGAGCAAACGGG
rnacentral:rRNA from 1 species